rnacentral:rRNA from 1 species
GUGCCAGCCGCCGCGGUAAUACUGGCAGCCCAAGUGAUGGCCGAUCUUAUUGGGCCUAAAGCGUCCGUAGCUGGCCACGCAAGUCUAUCGGGAAAUCCACCUGCCCAACAGGUGGGCGCCCGGUAGAAACUGCGUGGCUUGGGACCGGAAGGCGCGACGGGUACGUCCGGGGUAGGAGUGAAAUCCCGUAAUCCUGGACGGACCGCCGAUGGCGAAAGCACGUCGCGAGAACGGAUCCGACAGUGAGGGACGAAAGCCAGGGUCUCGAACCGGAUUAGAAACCCGUGUAGUCC